CCUACGGGAGGCAGCAGUGGGGAAUAUUGGACAAUGGGGGGAACCCUGAUCCAGCCAUUCCGCGUGUGUGAAGAAGGCCUUUUGGUUGUAAAGCACUUUAAGCGAGGAGGAGGCUGCCGAGAUUAAUACUCUUGGAUAGUGGACGUUACUCGCAGAAUAAGCACCG
rnacentral:rRNA from 1 species